rnacentral:rRNA from 1 species
UACGGGGGGGGCAAGCGUUGUUCGGAAUUACUGGGCGUAAAGGGCUCGUAGGCGGCCAACUAAGUCGGACGUGAAAUCCCCAGGCUCAACCUGGGAACUGCGUCUGAUACUGGAUGGCUUGAAUCCGGGAGAGGGAUGCAGAAUUCCAGGUGUAGCGGUGAAAUGCGUAGAUAUCUGGAGGAAUACCGGUGGCGAAGGCGGCACCCUGGACCGGCAUUGACGCUGAGGAGCGAAAGCCAGGGGAGCAAACGGG